rnacentral:lncRNA from 1 species
UUUUCUUUGCAGAAGACACACAGUGUCUAUUCUUUCAGUCUACCUUCAUUUUCAGGACAUAUUUAGUUACAUCUUUCUAUUUAGUGAUUGUGUGGCUUCGAUUUAUCAAUCACUGCUCCACAGGAUUUAUUCUUGUCUUUUUUCCUGUCUUUCUUGGAAGGAGCUGAAUUGAUAUAAUCAUUUGUCAUUAUCUAUUUGACAUACAGAAUAGAAACAACUUAUACUGUUUGUAAUUCUAACCCAUUAAAUAAGAUACUACUAAAAACUCACCUCUUAAUUUUUCUCCUUGUGAGGUAAUUCAUGGAAAUAUAAAUCAUGCAAACAAAUUCAAAAUAUAACAAAAUGAAUUUUUAUUUCAUAAAAUGUUAGUUUUUUCAAAGUACUCUAAACUACAGAGGGAUAAAUAUUUGUUUUUGGUUAUUUUAGUUAAGAAAAUAGUCUGCUAAAUGUCCUACUAUUUAUAUAAUUAACUAGAGGUAUGGGGAGAGUAACAUUUUGGGCCAUCUCUGUCAUCUUUCAUAGCCUUCACCCCAUGAAGAAGAUGGAGAUUAGUAAAUGGCAGAUUGGGGUUUGAAUGUACAUCUGAAUGAUUCCAAAACCUGUGCUCUCAGUGUUAGAUCAAGCAGUGAUGGUGAAUAUUAUUUUAUCAGAUUGAUACUUGUGAUUCUUAAAGCUAUUAUUUUUUUUUCUAGAAGGUCCCCCAAAUAAACCUAACUGAGCGCUGGGCUGCUCCUCGGCAAUCCAGGAAAAAUAGUAAGCUAUUUGAUAGCGACUGCCUACUCCUGUGCUAUUCACUGGUUUGAAGUUGUAGGUAUUUUUAUGUACAAUUGACUUUGUUUUUAUUGUCUUCAAAGCAAAAUAUGGCAUUGGGGAACCAGGAAACAGAACCGUGCUUGAUGACACUAUUUCUGAUCGUGAGAACAAAGAUGUGGUUGAAACCCUUUCUAAAACAUCACUCAAAAUCCAGAGCUUUUCUCAGUCUUCCUUUUCAUCAUCAGCACCUGACCCAAAGAGUAUCUUUGAGAAUCUUCCACAGAAGUCUGUUGAUCAUUUAUCUGGGGCUGCAGAUGAAAAAGGAAAACAUACCAGAAAUAUACAAGUAGAAGAUGUGAUUUAUAUAUCUUCUUGCAUAAGUGGAUCAAGAAACUUUAAGAUGGCUAAACUGGAGGAUACAGGAAAUGUAGGCAUACCAGUAGCCCACAAAAAAUCACCUGAGAAAUGUCUUCACCUGAAGCCCACCACUGAAAUGAAAGAUUCUGUUCUGAAUAAAGCAGUAGCAGUGGAGGAUUUACAGACAUGCAAAUCAGGUAAAUUUUGCAAUUCAGAUUACUCUGGAAAGAAGUAAGGUACAUUAAAAUGUUUUGAGAUGCCCGCAGUCUUCUCAUAUUCUUUUCCCGAGUUUUUAAAAGGAUUUGACAUAGAUAAUGCAGAUGUGAUUGUUGGUGUCCAUAUUUGCAAAUAAGGUGUUUGCAAGCAUAAGAGGAAAAAAAUGUAAUGUGUUAAGGUGUUUCUACUUAAUACCCUAAUGUCCCCAGCUUGGAUCCUUAUACUUGUUAGGGAUCCAUAGAGUUUUUUACAAGAUUCCAAAAUGUUUUCUUUAUUUUUCUUGGUACCAGAGAUUGAACUCAGGACCUUGCACUUGUGAGGCAGGCACCGGAACCACUGAGCUAAAUCCCCAGCCCCCAAGAUGUUUUCAAAGUUGGCAGAUGCUCACUGGAGAGCUGGGCCCUGUGGUGCAGGCCUGAGUCCCGAUUACUCAGGAGUUUGUGGCAAGAGGUUCACUGAUACCCAGGAUCCCCUUUCUAAAACAACAACAACAACAAAAAACAAUGCUUGCUGUAAUUCUGACAUUUACCUAGAGUAAAGCUUUGCUUCCUAACAUGUCAACUGUGUUUCCACUGUAAUUAUUUCAUCUCAGUCUCGAUAUAUUGAUGAUCGUAAGCAGAUAGAUGUUCUCAUUAACAGACUGUAUGAGUAUGUAUGGAUGGUAUCUCAUAUCUUUGAUUAUUAAAAGAAUAUCAUUUCUUAAUGACUAUUUGGUAGACAAACUUCAAAACAGUGAUUCUGCAACUUUUUAGCCAUAAGUCCUUUUAUAGUAUUAAAAAUUAGUACAGAUUUGACAGAGCUUUUGUUUAAAUACGUUGGAUCUAUUGACAUUUACUCUACUAGAAAUUAAAUCUGAAGGAGGUAAAAUACAAGCAUGCAGUCACACAUUCCAAUACCCAUUAGAGCUAUGACUCACUAAUCAUUAGAAUUCAGACAUGUGACACAUUACAUCUCUGAAAACACCACUGGCAAACAACAUUUGGUAUUGUUUGUUCUCUUAGACCCUGUGAAUGGAUCUUGAAUUCUAGGGAUUUUAACUCACUGUUAAACUACCAUUUAAACAACAGACAAGGUUCAUGAAAGCCAUAACUGACUGUUA